rnacentral:lncRNA from 1 species
AAGGAAAAAAGAAAGGGCCCAAGCCCAAAACCAAUCUCUAACCUAAUACAAAUAACCAAAAAACAAAUAUAAAAAUAAAUAAAUAAAUAAAAAGAAAAAUAAAAACCCAAAAUUAUAACAGGGCGGCGCCCCAUUGGGCUCAAAUGAUCAUGUCCUUAUUUUUUUUUCAAAAUUUAAAAUUGACAAAUGGCAUUGCUACAUGUGGCGGGUUAAUGAAUU